rnacentral:rRNA from 1 species
UACAGAGGGUGCGAGCGUUAAUCGGAAUUACUGGGCGUAAAGCGCGCGUAGGCGGCAUUGCAAGUCGGGUGUGAAAUCCCCAGGCUUAACCUGGGAACUGCAUUCGAGACUGCAUUGCUAGAGUAUGGGAGAGGGAAGUGGAAUUUCCGGUGUAGCGGUGAAAUGCGUAGAUAUCGGGAGGAACACCAGUGGCGAAGGCGACUUCCUGGCCUGUUCUUGACGCUGAGGCGCGAAAGCUAGGGUAGCAAACGGG